rnacentral:rRNA from 1 species
AUUGAACGCUGGCGGCAGGCCUAACACAUGCAAGUCGAGCGGAUGAGUGGAGCGUGCUCCAUGAUUCAGCGGCGGACGGGUGAGUAAUGCCUAGGAAUCUGCCUGGUAGUGGAGGACAACGUGUUGAAAGGAACGCUAAUACCGCAUACGUCCUACGGGCGAAAGUGGGGGAUCUUCGGACCUCACGCUAUCAGAUGAGCAUAGGUCGGAUUAGGUAGUUGGUGAGGUAAAGGCUCACCAAGGCGACGAUCCGUAACUGGUCUGAGAGGAUGAUCAGUCACACUGGAACUGAGACACGGUCCAGACUCCUACGGGAGGCAGCAGUGGGGAAUAUUGGACAAUGGGCGAAAGCCUGAUCCAGCCAUGCCGCGUGUGUGAAGAAGGUCUUCGGAUUGUAAAGCACUUUAAGUUGGGAGGAAGGGCAGUAAGUUAAUACCUUGCUGUUUUGACGUUACCAACAGAAUAAGCACCGGCUAACUUCGUGCCAGCCGCCGCCGUAACAC